rnacentral:rRNA from 1 species
AUUGAACGCUGGCGGCAGGCUUAACACAUGCAAGUCGAGCGGGGGAAGGUAGCUUGCUACCGGACCUAGCGGCGGACGGGUGAGUAAUGCUUAGGAAUCUGCCUAUUAGUGGGGGACAACAUCUCGAAAGGGAUGCUAAUACCGCAUACGUCCUACGGGCGAAAGCAGGGGAUCUUCGGACCUUGCGCUAAUAGAUGAGCCUAAGUCGGAUUAGCUAGUUGGUGGGGCAAAGGCCUACCAAGGCGACGAUCUGUAGCGGGUCCGAGAGGAUGAUCCGCCACACUGGGACUGAGACACGGCCCAGACUCCUACGGGAGGCAGCAGUGGGGAAUAUUGGACAAUGGGGGGAACCCUGAUCCAGCCAUGCCGCGUGUGUGAAGAAGGCCUUAUGGUUGUAAAGCACUUUAAGCGAGGAGGAGGCUACUCUAGUUAAUACCUAGGGAUAGUGGACGUUACUCGCAGAAUAAGCACUGGCUAACUCUGUGCCAGCCGCCGCAGUAA